UACGUAGGGUGCAAGCGUUGUCCGGAAUUAUUGGGCGUAAAGAGCUCGUAGGUGGUUUGUUACGUCUGCUGUGAAAACCUAGGGCUUAACCCUGGGCUUGCAGUGGAUACGGGCAGACUAGAGGUAGGUAGGGGAGAAUGGAAUUCCUGGUGUAGCGGUGAAAUGCGCAGAUAUCAGGAGGAACACCAAUGGCGAAGGCAGCUCGCUGGGACGGUACUGACGCUGAGACGCGAAAGCGUGGGGAGCAAACAGG
rnacentral:rRNA from 1 species